CUUAGUACAAGUUAGUUAUUUUGUAUAUACUCGAAAUUGCUGAAAAUGUAAUGACAUAGAUUAACUUACUUCUUUAAAUAGUUUUGAGUUUGUAGACUUAACUAUAUUAUUACUACUAUGAUGUCUUCCAUAUUUUCUUAAAACUUUUCUUAAAAAAAGCAAACGAAAAAUAAUAUAAGAGAGUUGGGAAGAUUGCAGAGAUUGCUAAACCCUAUGAUACGACACAUUCGUUAACUAUUUAUUUGAUGUAUUAUCAGCUCUCGCCUUUCUUCCUGCGGUUAUUUGCGAAAAGAUUUAAGUAAUAACAUGGUAAUUUAUUCAAACGUGUUGACUUCUCGAAACUCUAUUAAUAUUCUCCCUGGCCUAUUAAACUUUACUCUAUAAUAAUAUAUUAAAGAAAUUUAGGACAAGUCUUCAAAAUUCAUCCAAGUACAAAUACCAAAUUUUGAAUAAAGCUAAUCAGCUCUAAGGCCCAGAUAUAUAUAUUUGUAACUGUGGUAGUACAUCUGGAUUAUUGGCGAUAAGCUAGCAAGAGAAGACAUACUAGCCUCAUUUCCAUCGGACUUCUGGACCGGAGUGUAGCGUAAGAUGUCAUUCGAAUUGUUUUGUCUCCGCAAGGUUCAUUUCACUGUCCAAUAAGCACGCAUGCAGACUAAUCAUUUUAUCAAGCGCAAGCAGUUAAAGCUGUUUGGAGGAAGGGAAGGGACCAGCUUUCGCCAGUCUGAGGUCGAAGCAUCUCAGUAGGCAUACCAACUGCGAAAACAGUGAACUGUGGGGUAUUAGCCGACUUAAAAGAUAUGUAGAAGAUUAUAAGCUCUUUGUAGAUACUUGAUCCAAAGAAAAGGAGUUGACAACACAAAGGAUCAGCAUUUUUAGCUGUCCAAGUGGAAUCUGUUGCGACCUCAAACUCAACGAUCAGUCACCUAACCGUCUACUAUAUACAAAUUGGAUUCAUAGAGCACAUCAAGGACUUGUUGGGCCCUGGAAGGUAAUUGUUUGGAUCCUUACACCGAGUAUUUCUAUCUACAUCAAACACCUUUGAAAUCAGUCCGCUUUAACUUUAGAUACUCUAUUGAUCACCAUUCGUUCAAAUGACCUUACUUUUGCUAAUUUCCGAUACAAUUUUGCACUAACCUGUGAUGGGUGUAAUAUAUUCAACAUAGGUGCAAAAGCAGUAUUUCAUACAUUCAAUUAAAGAUUCUUUUGACAGGAAAACUUCACCCAAGUAAUGAUUCUAGAGUCAAGCAAAAGAGACAACUUAAAACUCCGCCCUCAACUCACCAGAUGCCACAUGCGACAUCAACAACAACACACGAGGAUGAAAACAAAUAACAUCAAAAAGCAGAAAUUCGCAUGAAAAUAUGAGGAAAAAGAAUUAAAUAAAUUUGCGAAGCUGAUGACUGUUAGUUGACUUUUACGACAGGGUUUGCCGUCAACAGCGAAGAAGUGACUUCGUUUCACCACUCGGCUGCAUAUUUGUUGUUGGCGGAUGGUGGAGCAGACGCAGACUGCCGAGCGACAUAAAGACAACGAAAGCAAUUGGCAAAGAACGCCAGACGACACACUUGCAGGUGUUGUUGUGGUUGAUAGUGGGUGAGUGUGUUUGUUGGUGGCACACACAGCAGCGGAAGUGUGCGGCAAGAUUGUAGGCAAUCAAGCGGUGCUAAGGAUGCCGGGGGAAGGUAAACGGCAGCUGGGUAUGUAGUGAUGCUUGCUUUCUUAAAUGGCGUGGAGUGGAGCAAAAGUUUAUGAAAACACACUAGAAUUUUGUUACACACACACACACCUGUCAAGAAUGUGCGCUUUAUGCCGAAGUGCAUAUAUGGCUGCAUGAGAACUUAAGUUAAGCCGAAGAAAUGGCACUUUGAAGAAAAUCUGAAGACAACUUGAAGAGCUUGAAGUACGCUAUGAGAGCACAAGCAAACAAAUAACGAGAUAAAUAUAAUAACGGGCAAAGGCUGAAUGCACCACAAGUGUUGAAACAAAUAACAUCAGAAAGAACAAGAAAAGAGCAAACCUGUGAGCUCAGUAUAACAGCAUAAACAAUUAAGGCCCGUGUUUCAAUGUAAGCAAUAAGGUUGACUUAACUAACUGGACAGAUAGUUUAAUGUAGGUCUUAGGAAUCAGGAAGAUGCAAAAUCAAAACUUUGGGUUUAAUUUAAAGCUGGUCAGAGAUGAGAAAACAAAAAACAGUUUAUUACGACAAUAGUUUCUUUAUGAGAAUGAAUGACCCUAUGGACCUUAAGUAGUAAAAACACAGUUGAACAUUUCGAUCCGAAAAUUAGGGAGCAGUUCUGACGUAGCGAUAUAAUAAUUUUUAGGUAAUUUAUUUAAGAAUCAAUUAGGUAAUAGCGAAUUUGGAACUUGAGUUCAUAUAAAAAAUCCAUGAAACCGAUUAUAUUUAGAUUUAACGGUUAACUAUAUCUUUUCUUACUUGUGUAUAAUUGACUUGGUUUCACAUGUUCUACCUUAGUUUUAUUUUACAUCCGACUUCAAUGUUAUUGCUGUUUAGUUUACUGUCUACUACCGUUUGCCGUAUUUCAUCCUUUAAAAUGUACUUGACUCGCUUAUAAGGAAAAUACAAUAAAGCAGUCAAGUUCGUCAGCAUCUUGAGGACACUUAAAAGAGAAAAAUAAAAGGAAAACAAAAAGGGAACUUCCACAUUUCCCACUCUUAUCACGAUAUGUACUUUUCUUAUUUCUGUGGCUAUAUGA